rnacentral:lncRNA from 1 species
AAUUAUCAGGGGUGCCCAAACUUUUUCAUAUCACUGUAUAUUCUAUAUAUAUUAUUCACAUGCAGUACAUUUAUAAUAUGCUCUUCAAUAUUGUUCAGUGUAUGUUCCAAAAACAGUCCAGUUGAAUCGUGACCUUUGGGACCUUGUGUGUUCCUUGUGUGUGUAUGAGCAAGAUGUUUAUGUCCCAGUUAAUAAAGAGGCCGAGGCCUAUUGCUCAUGAAUUUGGUAUUCAGAAGUGCUAUCGGUGCAUUGUUAACUCUUAUGCAAGGUAGAUUAGUAGGGGAGUAGCUUAUGACCAGGCUGUCCAGGAGGCCCCAGGAUUACGGGCACAGAUAUAUUGGACGGUCGGAGCAGAACUCCUCACUCUCAGCGCUCCUCACCAACCUCUCGCUCAGUCCCACCAUUCUGCUGCUCCAGCUCCUUCGCCUGCCCGGAAGUCAUGCUGCAUCCAGUCAUGCUUGGCAUUGUGACGGUCAACACCCUGAUCACUGUGGUGGAGUGGACCUGGAUGAUGAACGAGGUCAUGAAGGACGAGGAAACUCCAGAGAAUGCAGUUGCUCCGGCAUAAUCAUGUGCUGCCAGGGGGCCUGCAGCCAGGGCGAGGAGGUGUUAGACCUGCUGAUGGAGGAACCUAGCUGUAGGAGAAAUUCUCUCGUAUCAACACUGCUGCUUGUAGACCAGCGCCAGCUCCAACAGGACGGAGUGUGUAAUGGCUUACGAUUGGGUCCUUGGUCCUAAAGGUGAUCUGGAGGAUGCAGAACGAGGCUCUGGUGGAGGAGGAGGUGGAGGAGAAGAUGAUGAUGACGAUGAGGAGAGUGUUGAUAAUGACGGUCAUGAUGAAGGGAGGAGGAUGAGUGAGGUUUUGCAGGCCCCAGGUUUUCCCCGGGCAGGAGCCAGGUUUCUUCCAGGGUUACAGAGAUGUGCCAGCGUCUCCUACCCCUGCACCAACCACGGCGGCCGGCCUGGCGUCUCCAAACAGCAGAGAGGGUCCUGUCCUUCUGAAAUACCCAUCUCCAUACCCAUCCCCAUACCACACGUUACGUCCAUCUGAGUUUAAACACAAAUAUGAAGCACAAAUUCUUUUUUUACUACUAUUAUUUUACAUUUGAAUACAUUUUAAUAUUACUAAAAUGGGUUUAAAGGUACAAUAAGUGGCAUCUUUGGUCAUGUAUAGUAUUGUAUUGAUCCUGAUUAGCUAAAUGGCUAGGCAUUUUCUGACUGACCACUAAUAUUGAAGGUACAAUAUGUAGUUUUUCUACAUAUAUAUAAAAAAUUAACCAACAAUUAAAAUUACUGAAUCUUACAACAUUAGAAGCCAUGAAGUCUGUGCAACCUCAUUAAAAUGUAUCCUAAAGCAACUAGAAAAAUAUUACAUAUUGCACCUUUAAAGAAAGGGAUUUGUCAGCCAGCAGCCUGCCAGGGAUUAUUUGAUUUUUGUACGUUCUUGUACUAC